AAAAAUUCACAAAUAAAAAUCCAGGCAUCAACAAUUCAUGAAAUUAGCAUCAUAAAAAAGUAGACAUCCAUACAAAACUAUGAAAAAAAUUGGGACUCAUUUGGACCAUUUUUGUAUUUUUUAUGCAUUUUACAAAAUGACUAAAAGAAAUGAAAUAUUAUAGAAACAUGGAGGGAAAUGGAAUAAUUCAAAUUAAAUCAGAAAAUCCACAACCAUUGGAUAUGGC
rnacentral:lncRNA from 1 species